UACGAGGGAUGCAAGCGUUGCUCGGAAUCACUGGGCGUAAAGCGUCCGCAGGCGGCUUGGUAAGUCGGGUGUGAAAUCCCGGGGCUCAACCCCGGAACUGCAUUCGAAACUGCCUGGCUUGAGUACGGGAGAGGGUCGUGGAAUUCCUGGUGUAGAGGUGAAAUUCGUAGAUAUCAGGAGGAACACCGGUGGCGAAAGCGGCGACCUGGCCCGAUACUGACGCUCAUGGACGAAAGCGUGGGGAGCAAACAGG
rnacentral:rRNA from 1 species